GCGGUUGCGAUGAUUAUAAAAUAAUUCCUCGUACUGAAUGCUAACAGCAUGACAGACCCUUUUACACCCAUAGAAUAUGAGCAACC